AGAACGAACGCUGGCGGCAUGCCUAACACAUGCAAGUCGAACGCUUUUGGGGCUUCGGUCCCAAAGGAGUGGCGCACGGGUGAGUAGCGCGUGGGAACCUGCCCUGUUGUGGGGGAUAACCGAGGGAAACUUCGGCUAAUACCGCAUACGCCCGGGGGAAACUCCGGGGAAAGAUUUAUCGCAGCAGGAGGGGCCCGCGUCGGAUUAGGUAGUUGGUGGGGUAACGGCCCACCAAGCCUGUGAUCCGUAGCUGGUCUGAGAGGAUGAUCAGCCACACUGGGACUGAGACACGGCCCAGACUCCUACGGGAGGCAGCAGUGGGGAAUAUUGGACAAUGGGCGCAAGCCUGAUCCAGCAAUGCCGCGUGAGUGAUGAAGCCUUCGGUUGUAAAGCUCUUUCGCACGCGACGAUGAUGACGGUAGCGUGAGAAGAAGCCCGCUAACUCGCGCCAGCAGCCGC
rnacentral:rRNA from 1 species